rnacentral:rRNA from 1 species
CCUACGGGUGUCAGCAGUGAGGAAUAUUGGUCAAUGGGCGCGAGCCUGAACCAGCCAAGUAGCGUGAAGGAUGACUGCCCUACGGGCUGUAAACUUCUUAUAUAAAGGAAUAAAGUGAGGCAUGUGUGCAUUUUUGUAUGGACUUUAUGAAUAAGGAUCGGCUAACUCAGUGCCAGCAGCCGCGGUAAUACGGAGGAUCCGAGCGUUAUCAGGAUUUAUGGGGUUUAAAGGGAGCGUAGAUGGGUGGUUAAGUCAGUUGUGAAAGUUUGCGGCUCAACCGUAAAAUUGCAAUUGAUACUGGCAGCCUUGAGUACAGUUGAGGUAGGCGGAAUUCGUGGUGUAGCGGUGAAAUGCUUAGAUAUCACGAAGAACUCCGAUUGCGAAGGCAGCUUACUAAACUGCCACUGACAUUGAUGCUCGAAAGUGUGGGUAUCAAACAGGAUUAGAUACCCUUGUAGUC